rnacentral:rRNA from 1 species
GCCAGCGCCGACAGCACGUUGAGUCCAAAAGUUCCCAAUGGAUCACUGAAUUUAAGCAACAUUGCGCGCGGUUAGUAUUCGGAAGGGUGACCCCCUGGCCAAUCGCGUGCUCCUCACU